GGGACUUCGGUCAAAUGACUUUUGAACUUAGUGGCGGACGGGUGAGUAACGCGUGAGCAACCUGCCUUUCAGAGGGGGAUAACAUUUGGAAACAGAUGCUAAUACCGCAUAAGAUUACAGUACCGCAUGAUACAGUGAUCAAAGGAGCAAUCCGCUGAAAGAUGGGCUCGCGUCCGAUUAGAUAGUUGGUGAGGUAACGGCUCACCAAGUCGACGAUCGGUAGCCGGACUGAGAGGUUGAACGGCCACAUUGGGACUGAGACACGGCCCAGACUCCUACGGGAGGCAGCAGUGGGGAAUAUUGCACAAUGGGCGAAAGCCUGAUGCAGCAACGCCGCGUGAGGGAAGACGGUUUUCGGAUUGUAAACCUCUGUUUUCGGUGACGAAUAAAUGACGGUAACCGAGUAGGAAGCCACGGCUAACUACGUGCCAGCAGCCGCGGUAAUACGUAGGUGGCAAGCGUUAUCCGGAAUUACUGGGUGUAAAGGGAGCGCAGGCGGGAUAGCAAGUCAGCUGUGAAAACUAUGGGCUCAACCCAUAAACUGCAGUUGAAACUGUUAUUCUUGAGUGGAGUAGAGGCAAGCGGAAUUCCGAGUGUAGCGGUGAAAUGCGUAGAUAUUCGGAGGAACACCAGUGGCGAAGGCGGCUUGCUGGGCUCUAACUGACGCUGAGGCUCGAAAGUGUGGGGAGCAAACAGGAUUAGAUACCCUGGUAGUCCACACUGUAAACGAUGAUUGCUAGGUGUGGGGGGUCUGACCCCCUCCGUGCCGGAGUUAACGCAAUAAGCAAUCCACCUGGGGAGUACGGCCGCAAGGU
rnacentral:rRNA from 1 species